rnacentral:misc_RNA from 1 species
GAUGGCAUUGGGCUAGUAGUCCAAUAAUCGAGUGCUUGUUUUAGAGUACAAGAGAUCAAGAGUUUUACUCUAUAUGACCGUCUUCCCUUUAAAAGGUUGGAGUUUAUUUAAAGAAGAAGAUGCCAGUAGUAUGUCAUUUCUUAUGUAUGAUCUACAGAUCUAGUUAUUUGAAGCUUUGUAGAAGUCCUGCAUUUUUUUUCAAAUUUUAACCAUGUGUCGAUGAGAUUAACUGAAACAUGAAAUUCAUGCACUCUUUUGAAAAGUUACUGGCUCUUCUUUAUGGUGCAAACAAGCAGGCCUUUCAAGACUAACAACAGAUGAGAAGCUUAAAGAGGCAUUUUCUCCCUUUGGACAGCUUGUUGAAGGUAAAUGCAAUAUUUUAUAGUUAAUGUAUUCCCAUAGUAUGUUUAUCUGGUGUUUUCUCAUACCCGAAGUCCUUCCUUUUGGUUCUCCAGCAAAAGUCGCAGUGGACAGGGUCUCUAGAAGAUCAAAGGGGUUUGGUUUUGUCACAUAUACAACAAUAGAAGAAGCAGAGAAGGCCAGAGAGGGGAUGAAUGCCAAAUUUUUGGAUGGAUGGGUAAUUUUUGUAGACCCUGCCAAGCCAAGAGAGCAGAGACCUCCACCAGCACCAGAGCCUUCUGAAACUGGUUUCAAAAUAAAUAAGACCAUUGGAUGGUGUGGGUGAUUGCAUUGGAAGUUUUGAUUUCAUUGUAGUGGAAGAGUUGCUCGAAAGCUAUACCCGAGAUUAGUCAAGAAUACAAUUUACAAUUUAAGUUGAGGAACAUGUUGAGUGAUUUAUUACAGACAAGCAUAACUUAUUAACCUUUUCUGUUGAUUUGUUUUAGCUUCCUUAUUGUGCGAUCCUGUAUUUGUUUUGGUUGAACCUCCAUUCAUGGGGCAUUGAACUUCUUUUGCCUCCUAUUAAGAUUUCUUCAUAAAUAGAAUGCCUUAGAAGGGGUUACUCACGUAACCCUUUUUAACUAGUUGAUAUUGGUCCUCAAGAUGACUCUGCGAGACAUGAAUCCAAACUUGCAUCGACUCGCUUGGCGAUUAUGAACUUGAACAAGGAAAAUUGUUAUGAUGUGUUCCUUAAGCAAUGCAAGGAAUUGUUGGUGGUAAUUGGUAAUUGGUAAUUGCACACCAAUUUAGGCUAAUCCUUCUAGUAAGAACAUGUUUAGAUUAAUUCCAAGGAAUCUUCUAAACUUGUUUGGUGUGAUACACUACCAUAUUUGCCCCAGUUUUGAAAUCAAUCAAUUUGAUCAUUAAAUUUCAUAAAUUCUGACAUUAUAAAGGUGAGAAAAGAU